UACAUGGGGUGCAAACGUUGCUCGGAAUCAUUGGGCGUAAAGCGCGCGUAGGCGGUUACUUAAGUUGGAUGUGAAAGCCCUCGGCUUAACUGAGGAAGUGCAUCCAAAACUGAGUAGCUAGAGUACGAAAGAGGGUCGCGGAAUUCCCGGUGUAGAGGUGAAAUUCGUAGAUAUCGGGAGGAACACCGGUGGCGAAGGCGGCGACGUGGGGCGAGACUGACGCUGAGGCGCGAAAGCGUGGGGAGCAAACAGG
rnacentral:rRNA from 1 species